UGGUACUUGUACAUACAUAUAUAAAGAUUAUUAAAGAAAAUAGUUUUUUUUUUGAUGAAAAUUUAAACUUUCAACUAGAUUUUACUAAAAGCAAGAAAUUAAACGUUGUGAAAUUCCAUACUUUGGUAUUCGUAAAUUUAAAAAACCCACAAAAAAAAAAAAAAGAGAAAGAAAGUCGAGUAAAUUUGACUUUUGCCUUAUAAAUGCUAGACUCCCCCCUCUUGUCAAAUGUGUUCGUUAUUUACUGAUAUUAGUUAACCACGUACGCGAUGAUAAUAUUAUAACCUAUUUUCACC
rnacentral:lncRNA from 1 species